AAGAUCAAUUCCAUGCUUCGAUCAUUCAACGGCUGGACUUCUCCUUGGAAAUUGCACUGAUCGGUCGCCUGCUCUGGUCGCUGGAAGAUGAGAAAGUCCCUCGGCCAUAGAUGCUAAAGCAAAUAGGGGGCAUGGUUGGCUCAUAGAAUUUGAAGCAGUAGAUGGGUUCUUCUAAAGACAUGAAUGUUUGGUGGUACUAAUAGGCAGGUUUAAGGUGAUUAUGAGCUUAGGUAUGUCGCUGACUGCAACUAUACAUGGCGAUGCCUAAGAGCAAGGCACGUCAUUGGACAGGCAAAUGCAGCUACAUUUUGGCCAAAACAAGUGCAAUUACGUUGGCCGUGGAUUUAUUGGAUAUAUUGUCUACCAUUUUGCAGAGGGGUAUCUUGAAUGGGCAGAGGAGUUUAUUGCAAUUUUACCUUGGUAGCUUUUCCCUUUGUAACAUUAAAAUUAUUUUCCCUUUCCUUUGUAGUCUGUACACUUGAGAUACGAUAGAGAUGUCCCAGUCAAAGCAAAUACUGUUGCUAUAUAUAUAUUGAGACGAUUAACAUUAAGAAUAUGCUAUAAAUUGCUUCUCCCAGUGGUGAGAUAGUAAAACUAGCUUAUGCGGCCAAUGUAUGACAUUCUUUUUGGUCAAUGUAAAUAAUAAGCCAAA